rnacentral:rRNA from 1 species
CCUACGGUAGGCAUCAGUGAGGAAUAUUGGUCAAUGGGCGCGAGCCUGCACCAGCACAGUCGCGUGAGGGAUGAAGGUUCUAUGGAUCGUAAACCUCUGUUAUAAGGGAAUAAAGUGUGGGACGUGUCCUAUUUUGUAUGUACCUUAUGAAUAAGAAUCUGCUAACUCCGUGCCAGCAGCCGCGGUAAUACGGAGGAUCCGAGCGUUAUCCGGAUGUAUGGGGUGUAAAGGGUGCGUAGGCGGCCUUUUAAGUCAGCGGUGAAAGGCUGUGGCUCAACCAUAGACUUGCCGUUGAAACUGGGGGGUUUGUGUAUGUUUGAGGCAGGCGGAAUGCGUGGUGUAGCGGUGAAAUGCUUAGAUAUCACGCAGAACCUCGAUUGCGAAGGCAGCCUGCCAAGCCAUGACUGACGCUGAAGCACGAAAGCGUGGGUAUCGAACAGGAUUAGAUACCCGUGUAGUC